AUUUAAGGGCUCUCUUCUGUCAAUACUUAACCCUAGCUGCUAGAAGAGAAAUGAAAGGGUCAGAGAGAGUUGCCGAAAAUAGGAAACAAGCAACGGAACUUGGCAGACGUGUUAGAGAACCAAACCGACGAAACGUAGAACCCGAGAACCCCACCAGUCCUCUAAAUGCCUAUCACGUCUUGAUCUUCUCUUUUUUUUAAUGGAGAAGUGCCAGACUUCAUCGCCAUGAACCCAAGGCAUUUUUGGCCCUACACUUGGGAGAACCCGGUUCCCGAACCCAAUCCACAAGAAGGCUACGAGUAGAUGCUAGAUACUUUAUAGUUUCUUUUAUUUUUCUAUUUUUUAUAUUUCUUUCAGAGAAUUUGUUCUGUGAU